CGGUGCGCAGCGAGUGGGCGGCGUCGACGUACAUGUCGUCGUGGUAGACGGCCGCGGCGACCGGCACCUCGUUGGCGGCGAGCCGCGCCGG
rnacentral:tRNA from 1 species